rnacentral:rRNA from 1 species
GAUGAACGCUGGCGGCGCGCCUAACACAUGCAAGUCGAACGGUUAAAGCACCUUCUGGUGUGUAUAACGUGGCGAACAGGUGAGUAACACGUGGGCAUCCUGCCCCUUUCAUUUGGGUAUAACCGGGGAAACGUGGAUAUAAUACAAUACUUCGAGUCUUCCGGAUUGGAGACUCGUGGAAGCUCUCGGCGGUAGGGGAUGGACCCGCGGCUUUUCAGCUUGUUGGUGGGGUAGUGGCUUACCAAGGCAUUGACGGGUAGCCGGCCUGAGAGGGUGACCGGCCAGAUUGGGACUGAGAUACGGCCCAGACUCCUACGGGAGGCAGCAGUGGGGAAUAUUGCACAAUGGGCGGAAGCCUGAUGCAGCAACGCCGCGUGCGGGAUGAAGGCCUUCGGGUUGUAAACCGCUUUCGCCUGUGACGAAGCGUGAGUGACGGUAAUGGGUAAAGAAGCACCGGCUAACUACGUG